UGCAUUUUACCCUUAGAAAAGGGGUUUACGGCCCAAGAGGGUUCUUGGCCGUAAACUCCUACUAACUUGUGGUUUUGAUGGGUUUUUGAUGUUCUAAAUAAGCACAAGUAUUAGUGGGUAAAGUCCUUAAGCAUUUGGGGGAAGUUUAGGGCACAUUAAGCCCUUGUAAAGGGGUUUACGGCCCAAGGGAGUUCCUUGGCCGUAAACUCCAAGAACUUGUGCUUCUUGGAUGUUUUCUAGGCUACAAAGAUCAUACACUAGGUCCUUGAUAAGUCCUCUAACAUGGGAAUGGGUCUAGAAAGCAUUAAAGUUCCAUUUUGGAGUUUACUCCCCAAGAACGUUCUUGGGCGGUAAACUCCCGGAUCUUGUAAUCUAAACAUGUUAUGGAUGUUAAUAAGCAUCUAACAAGUAUUGAAACACUUUUAGUAAAGUAGACUCACAAUAUGGGAUGAAAACCCGAAGAUCCGUCAGAGAGAAUAUGGCUUUUCUCUAUUUGGAAUUGUGAAUAAUGAAUUAAAUAAAUUCAGAAAACUAUUUGUAGUCCUGAAAUAUUUUGACAGAAAAUAUUUUUAUUCUGGAACUUAGACUGUAACAUUAUGAAACUUGAAAUGACCAAAUUUCACAAUCUCAGGAGCAUCCACUCUCCUGAUAUCUCCUAAAGUGUAAACCCUAAGGUACACUAACUUGUUCGGAAAAGUCUGAAAAUCACUGAAAUUGAACUGACUUCUAUUGAAUAGAUAUUGUUCGUACAAAUGGAAAUUUCGGGUUGUCACAGAUCGGCCAUGGUCAAGUUGUUUGACCUAAUGGUAAAGAGAAAUGUUAAGUUUGUGAUAGUCCCGUAUACCAUUUUCAAAGAAUCCAUAUGUUUCCUUUUGCCAAUAGAAAGGGGCAUUGGUUGCAAAGCUGCCGAAUUUACCUGAAACCUCAUAAGGAUGGUAAAGUCAAAAGUUUGACUCUACUUCUGGUAAAGUCUGUGAUCUAACUCUAUUAAGUCUCUUUUGGAUAUUCUUAAUACAUGAUGUAAUGUAAUUACAUUUUGAUGUUUUUGAAGAAUCAAAGGAAGCUUAAAGAAAUGGUGUGCUGAUUUUGAUCGCAUGGUGCGAUGACCAGAAUUUUGAGCCACUGCAUAAGAGUUAUGAGAUAUUGCUUAGGAAUAGAUUACAACAAAGUUUUCAUAUGAAUUUGCAUUGUAAGGAUAAGUUUUUCCGCAAAGUUUUUAAAAUAAAAGGAAAUUUUUGUUUUAUUUAUUUUAAGUGUCCUUACAAUGGUAUUUGUGAAAAAUUGUUGCUUAUAUGUUUCCAUUGAUAAGCAAUAUUGGAAAAUGAAUUUGAUUCUUUCAUUUGUGGUAGUGUCAUAAUUUAUCAAAUAAAAAAAGAUUCUCAUCACCCAAGUUUCAAUUGGACAGAAACUUGAAAUCAUGCAAGUUGUAUUGUGUGAUGAAUGAGAUUUUUAUCUUUGGUAAAUUAUGACUAAUUCCUUGUUCACAUUCGCAUGUGAGUCAAGCGAAGGACUAAAGGAUCGGGUAUAUUAGGUUGUUCAAUAGUCAAGUCCACCACCAAGGUUGAUAAGAUUAUUCGUUAUGAUUUACUAAAGUUUAGUAAAUAUGAUUAUGCUUACAAGUUAAAGUGUAAUUCUGAAACAUUAGAAGAAUCAAAUAAGGCAGAAAGAUAAAAGUUUCUCCAAUCUGAAGAGAUGGAAGAGUACUUGUGUAUCUUGUUUUAUGAUUAUCUUAGUGAUUAUGGAACCAUAUCACAAUUGUGUUGGAUUAGUGUCUAAGUCCAUAACUAUUUUGGUACGUACUUGACCCGAUGGUGCAUGGUCCUUUUGGGUUGCCUUCACCAAAGCAACUUGAUUGGAGAAAUAAAUAGAGAGAGGUUAUUAUGAUCUAUUAAUAUGUUAUAAGAAUAAUAUAUUAAAGGAGAAAUCAUAUUUGUUUAAUUAAUAUUGGUCAAUAAUUAAUUAAGAAUUAAUUUUGUGAUCAAGUGUAAUUAAUUAAACUAGAGGGGCUGAAUUGUAAUUAUGUGAUAGUUACAAAAUAUGGUAAUGGUUAUCCUAAAUAUGGGUUGAACGAAUUCAAGGAGAUAAGGAUCCUUGAAAUCGUCCAAAGGAUAAAGGAUAAGGGUUUUCAAGGCUUAUCUUAUGGUUACUUGGUGGGCAAGCAACUAGAUAAGGAUAAGGACUAAAACCCUAAU
rnacentral:lncRNA from 1 species